AUUGAACGCUGGCGGCAUGCUUUACACAUGCAAGUCGAACGGUAACAGGCCGCAAGGUGCUGACGAGUGGCGAACGGGUGAGUAAUGCAUCGGAACGUGCCCAGUCGUGGGGGAUAACUACUCGAAAGAGUAGCUAAUACCGCAUACGAUCUAUGGAUGAAAGCGGGGGACCGUAAGGCCUCGCGCGAUUGGAGCGGCCGAUGUCAGAUUAGGUAGUUGGUGGGGUAAAGGCUCACCAAGCCAACGAUCUGUAGCUGGUCUGAGAGGACAACCAGCUACACUGGGACUGAGACACGGCCCAGACUCCUACGGGAGGCAGCAGUGGGGAAUUUUGGACAAUGGGCGCAAGCCUGAUCCAGCAAUGCCGCGUGCAGGAAGAAGGCCUUCGGGUUGUAAACUGCUUUUGUACGGAACGAAACGGCUCUGGUUAAUACCCGGGGCUAAUGACGGUACCGUAAGAAUAAGCACCGGCUAACUACGUG
rnacentral:rRNA from 1 species